CUACGGGGGGCUGCAGUCGAGAAUCGUCUACAAUGGGGGAAACCCUGAUAGUGCGACGCCGCGUGAACGAUGAAACCCUUCGGGGCGUAAAGUUCUUUUCUUUGUGAGCAGAUUAUUUAAUGAGAAUAUUGUUUAAUAAUAGAUAUUAGCAAAGGAAUAAGCCACGGCUAACUCCGUGCCAGCAGCCGCGGUAAUACGGGGGUGGCAAGCGUUGUCCGGAAUCACUAGGCGUAAAGGGCAGGUAGGCGGACUGGUAAGUCAGAUGUUAAAGGCACAGGCUCAAGCUGUGUAGGGCAUUUGAUACUGUCAGUCUAGAGUUAGGUAUGGGAGGACGGAAUUUCUGGUGUAGCGGUGGGAUGCGCAGAUAUCAGAAAGAACACCAAAGGCGAAGGCAGUUCUCUUGGCCAUAACUGACGCUAAACUGCGAAGGUGUGGGUAUCAAACAGGAUUAGAUACCCCUGUAGUC
rnacentral:rRNA from 1 species